UACGUAGGGUGCAAGCGUUAAUCGGAAUUACUGGGCGUAAAGCGUACGCAGGCGGUGAUGUAAGACAGUUGUGAAAUCCCCGGGCUCAACCUGGGAACUGCAUCUGUGACUGCAUCGCUGGAGUACGGUAGAGGGGGAUGGAAUUCCGCGUGUAGCAGUGAAAUGCGUAGAUAUGCGGAGGAACACCGAUGGCGAAGGCAAUCCCCUGGACCUGUACUGACGCUCAUGCACGAAAGCGUGGGGAGCAAACAGG
rnacentral:rRNA from 1 species